rnacentral:rRNA from 1 species
AGAGUUUGAUCCUGGCUCAGAUUGAACGCUGGCGGCAGGCCUAACACAUGCAAGUCGAGCGGUAGCACAGAGAGCUUGCUCUCGGGUGACGAGCGGCGGACGGGUGAGUAAUGUCUGGGAAACUGCCUGAUGGAGGGGGAUAACUACUGGAAACGGUAGCUAAUACCGCAUAACGUCGCAAGACCAAAGUGGGGGACCUUCGGGCCUCAUGCCAUCAGAUGUGCCCAGAUGGGAUUAGCUAGUAGGUGGGGUAACGGCUCACCUAGGCGACGAUCCCUAGCUGGUCUGAGAGGAUGACCAGCCACACUGGAACUGAGACACGGUCCAGACUCCUACGGGAGGCAGCAGUGGGGAAUAUUGCACAAUGGGCGCAAGCCUGAUGCAGCCAUGCCGCGUGUGUGAAGAAGGCCUUCGGGUUGUAAAGCACUUUCAGCGGGGAGGAAGGCGAUAAGGUUAAUAACCUUGUCGAUUGACGUUACCCGCAGAAGAAGCACCGGCUAACUCCGUGCCAGCAGCCGCGGUAAUACGGAGGGUGCAAGCGUUAAUCGGAAUUACUGGGCGUAAAGCGCACGCAGGCGGUCUGUCAAGUCGGAUGUGAAAUCCCCGGGCUCAACCUGGGAACUGCAUUCGAAACUGGCAGGCUAGAGUCUUGUAGAGGGGGGUAGAAUUCCAGGUGUAGCGGUGAAAUGCGUAGAGAUCUGGAGGAAUACCGGUGGCGAAGGCGGCCCCCUGGACAAAGACUGACGCUCAGGUGCGAAAGCGUGGGGAGCAAACAGGAUUAGAUACCCUGGUAGUCCACGCCGUAAACGAUGUCGAUUUGGAGGUUGUGCCCUUGAGGCGUGGCUUCCGGAGCUAACGCGUUAAAUCGACCGCCUGGGGAGUACGGCCGCAAGGUUAAAACUCAAAGGAAUUGACUG